GACAGAGGGUGCAAACGUUGCUCGGAAUUACUGGGCGUAAAGCGCGUGUAGGUGGUUUCGCAAGUCGGGUGUGAAAGCCCAGGGCUCAACCCUGGAAGUGCACUUGAUACUACGGAGCUGGAGUCUUGAAGAGGAGAGCGGAAUUCCCGGUGUAGAGGUGAAAUUCGGUAGAUAUCGGGAGGAACACCAGUGGCGAAGGCGGCUCUCUGGGCAAUGACUGACACUGAGACGCGAAAGCGUGGGUAGCAAACAGG
rnacentral:rRNA from 1 species